GAGUUUGAUCCUGGCUCAGAUUGAACGCUGGCGGCAGGCCUAACACAUGCAAGUCGAACGGUAACAGGAAGAAGCUUGCUUCUUUGCUGACGAGUGGCGGACGGGUGAGUAAUUUCUGGGAAACUGCCUGAUGGAGGGGGAUAACUACUGGAAACGGUAGCUAAUACCGCAUAACGUCGCAAGACCAAAGAGGGGGACCUUCGGGCCUCUUGCCAUCGGAUGUGCCCAGAUGGGAUUAGCUUGUUGGUGGGGUAACGGCUCACCAAGGCGACGAUCCCUAGCUGGUCUGAGAGGAUGACCAGCCACACUGGAACUGAGACACGGUCCAGACUCCUACGGGAGGCAGCAGUGGGGAAUAUUGCACAAUGGGCGCAAGCCUGAUGCAGCCAUGCCGCGUGUAUGAAGAAGGCCUUCGGGUUGUAAAGUACUUUCAGCGGGGAGGAAGGGAGUAAAGUUAAUACCUUUGCUCAUUGACGUUACCCGCAGAAGAAGCACCGGCUAACUCCGUGCCAG
rnacentral:rRNA from 1 species